AGAAAAUCCUGCCUCUCUGCUUUUUCCCUCCCUAGAUUCUGUUGAAGUCUGUUGCUGAAGGCCAUCUAAUCUGUUCAUUUAGGCCCCAGGCAUGGCAAGCGACUAGCGCUCCAGGACCGAGCUACUGAAGUAUGUCAACUAGGAGCUGGUGCAGAUCAGAUGAACCCAACCCUGCUGUGCAUCAAACUGUCGAAAGAAAACAAGUGGCCCUGUUUCAGCUACAGUUCUGCCAGCACUCACCUGUUGAGCUUGCUAUUAGAAUGAACAAUGAGCUUGCCUAGAAGUUUUCAUGGAAUUUACACUCUUAAUGCUUGGGAGUGCCUAUCAGCUAGUCCUUUUAUGGUCUUCCUAUCUGAUGAACAUCAAUUUCCCUGAGGGCUUUUUGGGGGGUAGCAAAAUAUAUAUAUUGAUAUCAGUGGGGCUUGGGUUUGUAAUCCCCCUUUUUUCCAUUUCUUGAAAUGUAAAUCCAGACUCUGUUCAGAAUGGUAGUAUUCCACAGUUUGAAGCAUAAUAAUAUGUAACUUGUCGGAGUUGCACAGC